GUUGAACACAGCCAGAUCAGUUUCAUCUUCAUUCAGUAAAGGGUGUGUAGGGGUUGGGGAGGGGGAGGAUAUCAAUGUUUGCCAAAUAGAAAAGGUCAAAUCUGGAAGGAAUUUUUUUUCUAGGUAAGUAAUACACAGAAGGGAGAGUAAAAUAACUGACACAGCUGGAAGGGGGAACCACCUUUCACACACCGAUUCUGGAGGUACCUGGUGUUUGGUUUCCAGGGUAGUUUAUUGUAGGCAGAGAACUGCAUUUAUGCUCAGCUAAAACAGUUCCUAAGAGCCAUUUUUACAGACAAAAACAGCCAGAUGCUUUGGUGCUCUGACCAUGUCCCCUCUUCCCUGGAACGCUCCCAGAACAACUUACAGCAGUGUCUGUGAGGGAAGUGCAGCAGCGCUAUGCCACUCAAGGAAUGCCCUUAACUGAGGCUAUUACCCAGGAACCAAUUCCAACCGGCUCUGCAGCCACCCUUUUAUGUCACAAGAACUAGCAAAAAGGGAUUGAGAUUAUUUGACUUCUACAAACUGGAGUUGGGUUGUCCAGGCUAUGCAGCUGCACAGAGCCGUUCUGCUGCAUGGAAGCGGGCGCAUUAUUUGUGGAGUCUGCGCAGGGGGUACACAUCUCUUGUGUGCAGUCCAGAUCUAUGGUGGCUUCCUGUGUGCCAAACAGUGUGGGCUAUAACCUGGGGUCAGGAUUUGGAGGAAGCAACUUGUACAUCCACUGGCAUCUUCGGUGGAGCACGCUCUUAUGCAGUAUGGGGACUGUCAGUGGGAUCACUGGCCUCUUAAAAUUGUCUAUGGAAAAUUAGGCAAUUCUUCAUCACAUACUGAGGCACAUACUGCUACCACCAGUGCCAAUCCCUCUGCAAAAGAGUCAAAAUGGCUUCUGCUAACUCUCUUGAUUGCAUGGAGCAGAUACAUACAGGAAAGAAAACCAAUAUUAUUUGACUUGUGACCAAUCUCAACCAACCAAUCCUGCUCAAAAUGUAAAAUUAUAUCAGGAAAAUUGUAUGAAGUGUUUUUGAAGUUCUAACAACAAAAUGUUUAACAUGUGGAUUUUAAAAAAUUUGCUUCCAUCUCACUAAAGUUUUGAACUUUGAAAAAGAGCAUUGUUAUUUAAAACAUACCCCCUACACCCCAUCAAUCAAUAAUCUUUCCAGCUCUCGUUGAGACAAUUCUGAGCUGAAAAGACCUUGGGUAAGGCGUCUCAGAGUGGAUCCCAUCCUUCAACCCAAUAGCUCUGGUGUUACUAAGAUCUUUGUUUCUUGCAGCAUACAGAAAACAACUUUUUCAGAUUCUAGGAUGUAUCUUAGAGCUCAGUCCCCUCCCAAGUUGUAACAUAGCUUUAAACUCAUGAUUCUGAGAAGAAUGCUUCUGUGGCUGAUUCGGUGUAAUUUGUGUAGUGACAGAUUUUCAAAGUGGAAAAAAUUAAUUUAGCAGUCUGGAAAACAAGGCCCUCUUGGGCAAAAAGAGGAUGGUUGGAACAGUCACACACUCCUGUUUACUGUCUAAAACAUUGUGUAGUACAAAUAGGGGGAUCAAGGGAAAUUAAAGUUGCCACCCAUCAGGAUUUCCCCUGAAGAGACCAACUGUUAAAUAUUAUUAGGAAAACAACAUUAAAUAUAUCCCUAUAAAAUGUGUAGCUCUAAUUUUUAGAUUUUUAAUUGUUAGUGAGUACUAUUCAGUUUUGGCUUCUUGUUUUCCUAAGAGUUAAAACCUCCACAUGAAUGUAUAGCUUAGCCACUUGCCAAAUUCCAGUACAAACUUACUGGAAAUUCCAGUAAACUCCAUUAGAAUCCUUCAAACUGAUUCCUGAUGGUUUCUACAGGGGACCAGUAGCUCUAAGAACCAAAAGAUCUGUUGUUCUUUUUCAAAAUCUUGUUACCAGCUGGAACUAUAAUGACCUAAUUGAAAAAUUCUAACUGGGAGGUCCACCACAGGAAGAUUUUCAGGAAAUAUAUUUGUUUUAAUAAAAUUGUUUUGAAACAAUAGUGUUUGAGUAUCCUUGGAAGACAACGACAGGAUAAAAAGGUAUCUGUGUAUUCCUGGUGGCAAUUCCAGUUGGAAACAGAAAAACAGCUAUAUUAGUCUACUGCAGUGGUUCUCAACCUAUUCACCAUUGUGGGUCGCAUAUGCAGCUCUCUAUUAGUUAUGUGGACUGCAUCCACAUAAUAUAUAUAGUACCUGUAUGGCCCUGAGGAUGUCACAUGGGCUGCAGCUGUAUGCUGAUUGGGCCACAAGUGGCCCGUGGGUUGAGAACCACUGGUCUACUCGUUCCUGGGAUAUUAUACUCUAAAUGAAACCAAGUGAUGCCAGCAGAGACCAUUUGAAGGUAGAGCAGGAUUAAGGCAAUCUGGGCCAUAGACAUUCCAGGACAUAGGGCCUCACCUGAGUCUUGUCC